UCNUCUCCUUCUUCUUCUUCUUCUUCUUCUUCUUCUUCUUCUUCUUCUUCGUUCUUCGUUCUUCUGUCUUCGUUCUUCUUUCUUCUUUCGUUCUUUCUUUCUGUCUUCGUUUCUUCUUGUCUUCCUUCCUGCCUUCCUUCCUCCUUUCCUUCCUUCCUUCCUUCCUUCCUUCCUUCCUUCCUUUCUUUCUUUCUUUCUUCUUUCUUUCUUUCUUUCUUUCUUUCUUUCUUUCUUUCUUUCUUUCUUUCUUUCUUUCUUUCUCAUAAAAGUAGUAACACGUAAUAUCUUAAAGACUAUUGAUGUAUGUCAAUA
rnacentral:lncRNA from 1 species